rnacentral:rRNA from 1 species
GACGAACGCUGGCGGCGUGCUUAACACAUGCAAGUCGAACGGAAAGGCCCUGCUUUUGUGGGGUGCUCGAGUGGCGAACGGGUGAGUAACACGUGAGUAACCUGCCCUUGACUUUGGGAUAACUUCAGGAAACUGGGGCUAAUACCGGAUAGGAGCUCCUGCUGCAUGGUGGGGGUUGGAAAGUUUCGGCGGUUGGGGAUGGACUCGCGGCUUAUCAGCUUGUUGGUGGGGUAGUGGCUUACCAAGGCUUUGACGGGUAGCCGGCCUGAGAGGGUGACCGGCCACAUUGGGACUGAGAGACGGCCCAGAGUCCUACGGGAGGCAGCAGUGGGGAAUAUUGCCCAAUGGGCGGAAGCCUGAUGCAGCAACGCCGCGGGCGGGAUGACGGCCUUCGGGUUGUAAACCGCUUUCGCCUGUGACGAAGCGUGAGUGACGGUAAUGGGUAAAGAAGCACCGGCUAACUACGUG